rnacentral:rRNA from 1 species
GAUGAACGCUGGCGGCGUGCUUAACACAUGCAAGUCGAACGAUGAAGCCCAGCUUGCUGGGUGGAUUAGUGGCGAACGGGUGAGUAACACGUGAGUAACCUGCCCUUGACUCUGGGAUAAGCCUGGGAAACUGGGUCUAAUACUGGAUAUGACUUCUCAUCGCAUGGUGGGGGGUGGAAAGAUUUAUUGGUCUUGGAUGGACUCGCGGCCUAUCAGCUUGUUGGUGAGGUAAUGGCUCACCAAGGCGACGACGGGUAGCCGGCCUGAGAGGGUGACCGGCCACACUGGGACUGAGACACGGCCCAGACUCCUACGGGAGACAGCAGUGGGGAAUAUUGCACAAUGGGCGCAAGCCUGAUGCAGCGACGCCGCGUGAGGGAUGACGGCCUUCGGGUUGUAAACCUCUUUCAGUAGGGAAGAAGCGAGAGUGACGGUACCUGCAGAAGAAGCGCCGGCUAACUACGUG